rnacentral:lncRNA from 1 species
AAGAAGCUAAAGUAAUACCACUAACUAAAAAUAGUAAAGCACCCUUUGCUGGCUUGCGUACUAUUGUUUGUCCAGAUGAACGUGGUACCUUCAGGCAUUUGGAAAUUGCUCCCAAGGAUAAACCAGACUUGUGGAGGUCUCCAUUUUUUUCUGAGGUCUUGGCUGAUUUCUUUUAAUUUUCCCAUGACGUCAGGCAAAGAGGCACUGAGUUUGAAGGGUUCAUUUGACACAUUGUAGAGUGAAGAGACCUGGGGGAUGUUUUUGGAAAGUGUUGGUGAUGUUUAACAGGACUGUCUCAUGGCAUGGAGACCUACUGUACUGUAAUGCUACACUGGAUGGAGCCCAGUGUUACGGAUUUGUGUGAGGAACUGUCCUUCCCUUAAAGACACGCAAGUAUCACAGGCUUGAUCGCCUCAUUCUGAAGGCUGUGGUCCUUUUAGUUCUGCAUCUGAAAUGUGAGAUGGGGUAAAUCAGUGGUGUGAUGACACACAGGCAACCAGCAUCACUGCUAGGAGGAGACCACCAGCUGACACUGACCCCAAGAUGAGCGCAAUGGUCCUAGUUGACAUGGUGGAGACGACAGCCAUUACAGAAUUACCCACCAAACCAGGACCAAGCAGCGGAGGAGGAAGGAGCAACAGGAGAACAGCUUGAUGGACUCAUGGACAUGGGAACAGAUACUGGACGGAGGGGACCAUGGACUCAGGCUGGGGAGUAUCGCCUCCCGCAGUGGGAGAUUGAAGCGGCGAGAGCGGAGAGGCGAUAUUAUGAGGAGAGAGAGCGCAACAAGCACGAGAGGCAGCCCCAAUCAUUUUUUUGGGGGGGGGGCACACAGGACAGUCGGCGGAGCCGAGGUCGGAACCAGAGCCAGUCGGGUUGACAUUGGAGGUGAGCGAGGGGAACGAGGCAGAGACUGUGAAGGAGUUAAUGGGGAGAUUAAAGGAGAGAGAGAUGAGAGAGCUGCUAGUUUGGUGCAUAAGGCACGGUAUCCGCCCUACGGAGCGUGUCGUUGAAAUGAUGUCACCUGAGGCAGCUCUCCAUACUCGUCCUGAGGUGCGUGCUGGUUGUCUGGUGAGGACUGUGCCUGCGCCCAGAAACAGGCCUCCUGCAUGUCUUCCCAGCCCUGCACGUCCUGUGCCUACGCCCAGAACCAGGCCUCCUGCAUGUCUUCCCAUCCUGGUCAAGCCCGUGCCUCCUCCACGGACCAGUCCUCCAGUGGGUCUCCCUAUCCUGGUCAAGCCCGUGCCUCCUCCACGGACCAGUCCUCCAGUGGGUGUCCCCAUCCUGGUCAAGUCCGUGCCUCCUCCUCGGACCAGUCCUCCAGUGGGUCUCCCCAUCCUGGUUCGUCCUGUGCCUCCUCCAAGGACCAGUCCUCCGGUGGAUCCCUCCACCCUGGUCUCUCCUGUGCCGCCUCCUCAGACCGGGCCUCCAGCUGGUCUCCCCAGCCUGAUGAGUCCAGGGCCUGCGCACAGAGCCAGGCCUCCAUGUCUCCCCAGCCUGGCCGGAGUGGCCGGCCGUGCCGGAUCUGCCGGAGUGGCCCGCCGUGCCGAAUCGACGCCAAGGGUGCAGCAAAGGCCACGUCCCGCACCUGAUCCACCUCCAGGUUAGGUGGGUUGGGGAGGGGGGGUGUAGCACAGUGCCGUCGUUGACGGCAGCCACCCUCCCUUCCCUCCCUUAUUGUUUAAGGGGGGAGACAUUUUUUGGGGGGGAUUUUUUGUUGUUUCGGUGUAGGUGCAUUCGGGGUAUGCACCUUUGAGGGGGGGUACUGUCACGUCCUGACCAGUAGAGGGUGUAGUUGGGUCAGGACGUGGCAGAAGAGAAGUGUGUAGGUUGAUUUGUUUCGUUUAUUUUGGCCGUGUGGCUUCCAAUCAGGCACAGCUGUAGAGGGUUGUUGCUGAUUGGGAGUCACACAUAAGUAGCCUACUUUUCCUUUGGGGUUUGUGGGUAAUUGUUCUUGUUACUGUGUUAAUCGUGACAGGACUGUUUUGGUUGUCUGUUUAUUGUAUU